AUUGAACGCUGGCGGCAGGCCUAACACAUGCAAGUCGAACGAGUGGCGGACGGGUGAGUAAUGUAUGGGAAACUGCCCGAUGGAGGGGGAUAACUACUGGAAACGGUAGCUAAUACCGCAUACCAUCGGAUGUUCCCAGAUGGGAUUAGCGAGUGGGGGGGGUAACGGCUCACCUAGGCGACGAUCCCUAGCUGGUCUGAGAGGAUGACCAGACACACUGGAACUGAGACCCGGUCCAGACUCCUACGGGAGGCAGCAGUGGGGAAUAUUGGGCAAUGGGGGCAAGCCUGAUGAAGACAUGCCGCGUGAAUGAAGAAGGCCUUCGGGUUGUAAAGUACGUUCGGCGGCGAGGCGUUACUCGCAGAAGAAGCACCGGCUAACUCCGUGCCAGCAGCCGCGGUAAUUC
rnacentral:rRNA from 1 species